UGUUGAUAAUACGGGACUGACAGAUGGUGAAGGAAUUGAACGCCUUUGGAGUUAUCUACGCGGAUUCAAGAAAAUCACCAAGGAGAUGUCACGUGAUAACCGUUGCGAUCUUCUGACAGAAGCAAUGCUUCAUCAUACAGAGAGGCAGAUAUGGAAUUUAGGAAAUAAAAACCUUGUUGAAGUUUUCAUGAUUUUAUAGGCAGUAGAUUGUCUACCAGAACUACAAAGGCAAAGAAGACAAUAGAUGAUUGCUCAGCAAUAAUUCACAAUGUUGCGUCAAGUUUGAAUGUUGGUAUGGGAAGUGCUGACGUUUGGCUCUGUGAAUGGAAAACACAAUCAGCAACUAGAGCAGAGAAAGGAACAGCACUGUCUGUGAAUGACGUGUAUGUGGAAAACAUGUACAACUUAUCAAAGAAAAGAGUACAGCUUCUGAGGAUGACAUUGAACCUGAAGUAAGGGAUAUUAUUGACAGAGACGUUUUUAAUUAGACAAGCAAAUCAAGAAAAUUGAGAAGAAGGUUGAUGCAGGUCUUAGAACUACGACACUCAUUUGGUGAAGAGAGAGAGAAAGCAAUUUAAUUGACUGUUAUGAAGAAAAGGAGGAAGGAGGAUUAGUAGCUUGCAGAAACUGAAGCAGCUUGCAACUGAGCGUCAAUUCUUAUCUGAAAUGAUGAAAAAAUAUGCAGAUGGACAAAACUUAGAAAAAAGAAUCAGCCAGCAGUUUUCCGUGAACGCCACGAAAAUAAAGAAGGAGCUUGAUGUCAUCAUUAGCUUGGACUUUUGUGAUCCUGUAGAUUUUACAACAGUUUCUUUACCAACAUCUCCAUUGUAUUUGGAACUGGAAAUUUCGGGAGUAAGUGCUGAACAGCAGAAAGCUGCACAAGCCUUGUCCUUGAAAAGUCACGCUUUAGAAGAAAUAUCGGUUUGUAGGAAUGAAGUGCAUUGCAUUGCAUGCAGGAAUUCCUUCUAGAGCAAAGCAGUUAUCUUCAUAAUGAAAUUGUAUCAUAUAAGCAUGGUUCUCCGUCUAGAUACACUACUGGCAAAAUUUACUACAUGUCAAUUCACCCCUUUAAAGUUGAACAACUUUGGAAAACAUGUGAAAAUGUGUUUCAAGCUGAGGAAGUUGAUAAUAGAAAUUUGGUUAUGGAGAUUCAUGAGAUUCAAAAAAACACCUUCUUUCUCCUUUUGAUUCAAAUCAAACACUUCCUGUUACUGAUGAAGAAAUUUCAAAAAUCUUUGAAGAAAUAAGUGAACUAGAAAAGGAAGAGAACAGUCAGGUGUCUGAUGAAGAUGAAGAUUAUUGUGAGGAGAUUGAUGAAGAUGUUGAAAUUUCAUAAACUGACAUUUAUUGUAUAAAAUGUGAAUGUACAUAUGAAAGUCCAUUGUUAUCUGACUUUCAAUGAAGUAUACUGGAUACUUGUUAAUAUAUACUUUUCGCUACAUAUUAAAGGGAAUCAUCCUUUAAAUUGAAACUUGAAAGUAAUUUUGAUUAGUGCAGACAUUUUUAAAUCAUUCCUCUUUUCGAUGGACAACAUUUGGGGGGAAGGAUCAUUCAACUGUUUUCUGUGAACACCACAAAAAUACCCGGUAAAGAAGUAGCUCAAUGUCAUUAAUAUCUUGGACUAUUGUGAUCCUCCAGAUUUCGCAACUUUUUUCUUUGAACACCUCAAAAAUAACGGUAAAGAAAGAGCUUGGAUUUUUCUGAUUCUCCUGAUUUUGCAUUCAUUUCUGUUCAAACAUCUGCAGUGUAUUUGGAACUGGAAGUCUCAGUAUUAAGUAAAAAUUAGCAGAAACGUGUACAAACCUUCUUUAAAAAUUCAUG
rnacentral:lncRNA from 1 species